GAUGAAGAACGCAGCGAAAUGCGAUAAGUAAUGUGAAUUGCAGAAUUCAGUGAAUCAUCGAAUCUUUGAACGCACAUUGCGCCCCUUGGUAUUCCGAGGGGCAUGCCUGUUCGAGCGUCAUUAUAACCCCUCAAGCUUAGCUUGGUGUUGGGGCCUGCUGUAAUAGAGCAGCCCUUAAAAUCAGUGGCGGUGCCAUUAGGCUCUAAGCGUAGUAAUUCUUCUCGCUAUAGGGUUCUGGUGGAUGCUUGCCAUUAACCUCUAAUUUUCUAUGGUUGACCUCGGAUCAGGUAGGGAUACCCGCUGAACUUAAGCAUAUCAAUAAGAGGAGGA
rnacentral:misc_RNA from 1 species